CCAAAGGACUUCUUAAAGUCCAUAAAAAUUCCAUUAGUCAUGUUUU
rnacentral:ncRNA from 1 species